ACCUUACCAAAUCUUGACAUCCUUUGACCGCUCUAGAGAUAGAGUCUUCCCCUUCGGGGGACAAAGUGACAGGUGGUGCAUGGUUGUCGUCAGCUCGUGUCGUGAGAUGUUGGGUUAAGUCCCGCAACGAGCGCAACCCUUAAGCUUAGUUGCCAUCAUUAAGUUGGGCACUCUAGGUUGACUGCCGGUGACAAACCGGAGGAAGGUGGGGAUGACGUCAAAUCAUCAUGCCCCUUAUGAUUUGGGCUACACACGUGCUACAAUGGAUAAUACAAAGGGCAGCGAAUCCGCGAGGCCAAGCAAAUCCCAUAAAAUUAUUCUCAGUUCGGAUUGUAGUCUGCAACUCGACUACAUGAAGCUGGAAUCGCUAGUAAUCGUAGAUCAGCAUGCUACGGUGAAUACGUUCCCGGGUCUUGUACACACCGCCCGUCACACCACGAGAGUUUGUAACACCCGAAGCCGGUGGAGUAACCUUUUAGGAGCUAGCCGUCGAAGGUGGGACAAAUGAUUGGGGUGAAGUCGUAACAAGGUAGCCGUAUCGGAAGGUGCGGCUGGAACACCUCCUUCUAACCUGCAGAAA
rnacentral:rRNA from 2 species